CGGUGGAUCAGUGGAAGAUCACCACCUUCGCAAGGUGGAGGCCGCGGGUUCAAAUCCCGUCCG
rnacentral:tRNA from 1 species